GACGAACGCUGGCGGCGUGCUUAACACAUGCAAGUCGAACGGAAAGGCCCUGCUUUUGUGGGGUGCUCGAGUGGCGAACGGGUGAGUAACACGUGAGUAACCUGCCCUUGACUUUGGGAUAACUUCAGGAAACUGGGGCUAAUACCGGAUAGGAGCUCCCGCUGCAUGGUGGGGGUUGGAAAGUUUCGGCGGUUGGGGAUGGACUCGCGGCUUAUCAGCUUGUUGGUGGGGUAGUGGCUUACCAAGGCUUUGACGGGUAGCCGGCCUGAGAGGGUGACCGGCCACAUUGGGACUGAGAUACGGCCCAGACUCCUACGGGAGGCAGCAGUGGGGAAUAUUGCACAAUGGGCGGAAGCCUGAUGCAGCAACGCCGCGUGCGGGAUGACGGCCUUCGGGUUGUAAACCGCUUUCGCCUGUGACGAAGCGUGAGUGACGGUAAUGGGUAAAGAAGCACCGGCUAACUACGUGC
rnacentral:rRNA from 1 species